CGCGUAGGCGGUUUUGUAAGUCAGGUGUGAAAUCCCGGGGCUCAACCCCGGAAGUGCAUUUGAUACUGCAAGACUUGAGUAUGGGAGGGGGAAGUGGGAAUUCCUGGUGUAGAGGUGAAAUUCGUAGAUAUCAGGAGGAACACCAGUGGCGAAGGCGACUUCCUGGACCAAUACUGACGCUGAUGCGCGAAGGCGUGGGGAGCAAACA
rnacentral:rRNA from 1 species